UCAUUUCUCACCUAUAGCCGCUCUUGAUUCCCCCCUUCUCUCAAACUCUCUAUCAAACCUAGCCGCCGCCUUCUAUCAUCACCCUAAAAUUUCCUGAAUCAAUGGCUUCCAAAGCUAUUAAAGGCCUGUAUCUGCCUCCUACAAUUCCUACAUGCUCGAUUAUUAUGGUUUCAAGACCAGACCUAGAAGAAACUUGUCCCAGACCUUGGUCGAUCUCCGUUUUUAUGGCUGUCUCCGGUCAUCCUUGACCUUGCUCCGGCCAGCCAUGGCUAUUCAAGCCUGAUCUUGAUUUCUCCUACUUAGAUCAAUGACUUUCAUAGCCUUUCUCACUAUCUAGGUUCUUCUGAAACCCUAACCUUUGCGGUUCUUCUAAUUCUUUUAGAUUCUUUUUAGAUCUGUGUAUCCCUAAGCCUUCAAAAGUUUGCUCGAAUUUCUUUCAAAACUUUACCUUCAGAACCUUUAUUUUUUCGAUUUAGGGUUUUGUUUAAUUAUUUUGAAGCUUUUUUUUAUCUUUAACAUGUUCUAUUGUUUUUCUUUAUGUUGUUCUUCUACUGGAGUGUACAUGUUCCUUUUUGAGGAUUUUGAUUUUUACUUUGUUGGUAUUUUUUUUGCCUGAUUUACUUAUUUUUCAUCUUUGCAACUUGUUUGAUGGUAAGAACCCUAAAAUGUUGGGUUCAUUCGAGUUCUGAGACUAUUUGCUAUGCGACUUACCUGUUCUUCAUGCUCUAAAUUCGAUGGGUUUCAAGACCCUAAUUUCUUUGGACCUAUUCGAGUUUCUAAAGUUGUUUCAUCUAUUGUUCGACUGAGUUUCGAAAUCUUUGUUUCAUCUUCGGUUGCUAUAUGUGAUUUUUAUUUCCUGCUAUCAUUGAAACUUGACUAUAUUUUUAGAAAGGUCUUUCUACUUGACCUCUUUGCAUGCUAUUUGACACUCUCUUUUCCCUAUUACUGAGUUACUAAGACUGACCUAUAUGAGUGCCAUGUCUUGAUAGUCCACUACUUACUAACUUUAUGAUUGCAUGACACUUCUCUUUGUCCUAAAUUCAUCCUUGCAUGCCUAAUACUUAUGAACUCUCUUAUAUGCUGAAUUUCGCUCUGAAAUGACCUUCAAUUUGGGACUGAUUUCAUGCCUCCUUGUG
rnacentral:lncRNA from 1 species